rnacentral:tRNA from 1 species
UAUUUAAUAAUUUAAUUCAAAAUAAUAAAUUGCAAGUUUAUAAAUAUCUAUUAAGAUUUAAAUAU